UGAUUACCAAAAAGCCAUUGAUUUGGAUUUUUCGGCAAUCAAGGAGAUCAACUGAGCGGCGAACCUCGAGUAGCAACUUAAAAGUUGAAACCACACUCUAGUCUGGGCUGUGCCGCCACCCGGGAACCAAGCUUCUUCGCUGAACUGCAUCUUUGCACCUCUCUGUAUCCGCCCAUUGAUUUUCUUGUUACAGAAAACUUCAGUUCUUCCAACAAUCAAUCAAUCAACCAAGUAAGCUUUUUUACUCCGUAUACUUCUUCUCUCUCUAAAACUGCAAUUACCUCCCUAAAACCCUAAACCCUCAUCCUAAUUAUUAGCAUUUGAAACUCUCUGAUUUUUGGUUCGUUUGAUAAGAAGAAGGGUAGAUUAAUAUCUUGAUUUUCAAUGAGGGAUUUUAAUUUAUGAGUUGGGGGCUCUUAAUUUUAAUGGGAACAUUGCAAUUGGUGUUAUACUUGCUUGAAUGUUCAAAUCUGUUUCUGGGUUUCUUAAAUUCAAUAACUUUUGUCAAGGUAUUGAGAUAAUGGGAUCUGCCCAUUUGUUGGAUUUGGUUAACUAUGAACUCUGUAGCUCAAUUUGGUCGAAGGUUUUUUUUGCAUCCCGUCUCGUUUCUGCGUUUUGUGUCGCGAAGGCGGGCGUAUUGUAAUUGUAGUUUAGAUAGUGGUAGUGAUGAUGUUGAUAAUAAUGCUGGAAAAGGGUAUAGCCCUAUUGAGAAAUUGUUAAGGGAAUUCUGGAAAAGUCCGGAUUUUGAUCCGGGUUUGGAUAAACCAAGUAGAGAGGAAUCGGAUGAUGACAACGAAAGCCAAUUUCGGGGUAACUGUGAUCUCAAGCAGACGUUUUUUGUGACUACACAGAGAGAUGCAAAUAGGAUGUUUGAUGUAUUAAGGCAGGAUGGUCCGGGGUUUAAUUUGAAAACUGCGUUGCUUGAAUUGGAUGUAAGGAUUUCGGGCCUUCUUGUUAGGCUAGUACUACUGAAGAUUUUGAAGAUUGUAAACUAUGAAAAUAAGAUUUUGUGUGCCAAAUUGGCUUACAAGUUUUUUGUAUGGUCUAGUGAGCAGGAAUACUACAGGCAUCCAGUGAACGCGUACCAUUUACUAUUGAACAUUUUCGCAGCUGCUGAGGAGUUUAAAGCAAUGUGGAGAUUAGUUGAUGAGAUGACGGAGAAGGGGUACCCGGUAACUGCAAGAACAUUCAAUAUUCUGAUAUGUUGUUGUCGUGAAUUAGGGUUGCAAAGAACAAUCGUUGAAAGAUAUGUUAGGACGAAGACUUUCAACUACCGCCCAUUCAAGCAUUCCUACAAUGCUAUUUUGGUUUGCCUUCUUAGAAUAAAUCACCACAGGUUGAUUGAGUGGGUUUAUCAGCAAAUGUUAGCUGAUAAUCAUUUGCCUGAUACUCUGACUUAUAACAUACUCAUCUGCGCGCACUAUAGAAUGGGAAAGAUGGAUAAUGUUCAUCGGUUGUUGGAUGAAAUGGGUAGGAAUGGAAUUUCACCGGAUUAUCACACUUUUAAUGUUCUUCUUCACGUUCUUGGAAAAGGGGAUAAACCAUAUGCUGCUCUCAAUCUUUUAAAUCAUAUGAGGGAAGUUGGAAUAAAUCCAACCUAUUUACACUACACUACUUUGAUGGAUGGUUUAAGCCGAGCAGGAAAUAUGGAUGCUUGUAAGUAUUUCUUUGAUGAAAUGAGUAAGAAUGGUUUCAACCAUGAUGUUGUCAGUUACACUGUUUUGAUCAGUGGAUAUGUACAAGCAGCAGAGCUAGAAAAGGCUCAGCAAUUUUUCAGUGAUAUGAUUGCAGAUGGACAGUUGCCAAAUGUUUUUACAUACAACUCUAUGAUUCGGGGACUCUGUAUGGCUGGGAAGUUUGAUGAUGCAUGCUCUAUGCUCAAGGAAAUGGAAAAGAGAAAUUGCAGCCCGAAUUUUCUUGUGUACAAUACCUUAAUUAGUAAUCUACGAAGCAAUGGGAAGCUUAACAAAGCACAUGAAGUAAUGAAAGAUAUGAUCGAGAAAGGACAAUAUGUUCAUCGCAUCUCAAGAUAUAGGAGACAUAGGAAAUACUGAAUAACAGGAAUUCGACAUUGUAACUUUAUUCCAGAAAGUAUUCAUUGAUUGUUUACACACCACAGCUUGUUGCUGCUGCUUGUAUUGGAUGUUAGUUGAGCGCAUAUGAUUGAAGAAAGUGGACAAACAGGGAAGGCUUUGUGGAACAUGAACAUUGUCUCCUGGCAUUUGAGUGCUACUGAAAUAUCCUGUUCUGUUCAUGAAAGAUUCAACCUUAUGGAGUUAUGGUAAUCUCCAUUUAAAUCUAUCUCUGUUGAACCGCUGCAAAGUCUGGACGUCACCAAAUUUUUGCACACUAUGCCAAGAAAGUGGAGCUGGUCGCUAGUGAUGCAGGACUCUUGAACCGGAGCUCACAGACUCGCAGUAGAGAUUGGACAACGGUUGUAUGUAACAAUGUAUGGAGAAAAGGUUAGGAGUUUUCUUGCCUAAUGGAUUCCUUUUUUAGUGACUCCAUCAAUAGUUUUUUGGCAAUUUACGGAAUUAUAUAUUCUUCCGUUGCAAAAACUUCGUAUGAAUUUUAGAUUCGUCUCAACAAAUGCUUUCGUGGGAAGAUAGAAUGUUCUUUUUACUCUGUACAUGAUUUAGUCAUUGGUAAUGAUCAAUAAUAAUUGUCAACUUUGGUACUGUUUUGACUAAACAAAUACAAAUGUAACCUUUUAUCUUGAAAAGUGGGGAUUAACUAAA